GGAGAGAUGGCAGAGUGGUCGAAUGCACCGGUCUUGAAAACCGGCGCGGGUUUGUAGCCCGCCUAGGGUUCGAAUCCCUAUCUCUCCGCCA
rnacentral:tRNA from 1 species